rfam:Morus notabilis contig26321, whole genome shotgun sequence.
GAAUGAUAUGAUGACUUUGAAUUCCCUAUUGGUUUGAUUGCCUAGAUGAUGGCAACUAAUGUAUUAGCUCUAGCUGAUCAUUC